AGACACCCUUCUGGGGCAAGACUUGCUUCAGUGGGGCUUUGAUGCUCACUGAAUCUGCCCCCUGAGUGUGUCCCU
rnacentral:pre_miRNA from 1 species